AUUGAAGACUCGCUGCCAGAUGCUGCCGCGAUACUGCUGUCGCGUCUUUUUGAGUCUUCAAGAAUGGCACGUAGUAGUCUGAAAGUUUUCACACGCGAAAAACAGAAAGGUGGACUACGGCAAGCGGACUGAGACAAUUUCAACCGUUUUAACGGAACAUGGACUUCAAAUGUAGGCUAAUAGUAAAUAUAACUUCAUAAUUAUUCAAAAUACUUCGGUUCAAAAUAUGCAUGGGAAAUCGGACAAGGAAUCACCCCC